rnacentral:rRNA from 1 species
AUGGCAGAGAUUGUAAUUCUUCUAGCCAUUAAAAAGAUCGGAAUCGCCUUGGCAAGUAGAGUGGCAAACCAGGCCAACGUGCAGUUUGGAAAGUACAAAACACAACUACAAGAGCUACAUGGCAGUAUGGGUCGUGUUGCGAGGGAGCUUCGCAUAAUGCAUGAAGUGCUCUGUCACAUGGAUAUUCGGAACCGCAACAAUCAAGUUUAUGACGGCUGGUUGGAGGAGGUACAGAAAGUAGCACAUGUGAUGGAGGACAUGGUGGAUGAGUACUUAUAUCUAGUUGGUCGGGAACAUGAUAUUGGGUCUUGUUUUUACCUGAAAAAGGGCUUCAGAAAAUCCAGAUCUCUGCUUUCUAUGAACCAGUUAGCUUUCAAGGUGAAGGAAAUAGAGAAAGACCUUAGUCACCUAUCAGAGACAAACAAACGUUGGGUUCCCAUGACAAUCAGCGGGGCCACGAGCAGCUGUGAUUACAUUGUCAAGAGGGGCCAAGAUCUAGCAAAUAUUUCACGUUCCCUUGAUGAAGAAGAUCUUGUGGGGUUGGCUGAAAACAGAGAAAAACUUGAGCAGUGGUUGGCAGAUGAUGAUUUGGAAUGCUCGGUCAUAGCGCUGCUUGGAAUGGGAGGGCUUGGUAAAACAACUUUAGCUGCAAAUGUCUACAGGAAUGAGAGAAAGAAAUUCCAAUGCCAUGCCUGGGUCUCCAUCUCUCAAACUUAUUCUAGAGAAGAUGUCUUGAGGAAUAUAUGCAAGGAACUUUUCAAAGAUAAUGUCAGUGUUCUAUCUAAAUCUGCAGCUAUGGACAUCACAUGCCUUGAGGAGACACUGAAGAGUUUUCUGGAGCAACGAAAGUACUUGAUCAUAUUGGACGAUGUUUGGACUCCAGAAACAUUUGAUGAUUUGUCUAGGAUGGUUAUUCAUAAUGAUAAGGGAAGUAGACUGAUAAUCACAACCAGGGAAGGCGAUGUUGCUGCACUUGCCUCUCCAGGACAUAUCUUAACACUAGAAGCUUUACGAGAAGAUAAGGCAUGGGAUCUCUUUUGUAAAAAAACAUUUCCAAAAGAAACAAAUCAUGAUUGUCAUGCGGAGUUAAAGCCUUUGUCCAGGGAAAUAGUUAGCAGGUGUAAAGGCUUGCCUCUUGCUAUUGUGUCAGUUGCUAGCCUCUUGCGUGUGCGUGAGAAAACUGUGGAAGAAUGGAGAAGAAUAAAUAACCAACUGAGCUGGGAGAUAAUUAAUAAUUCGAGGCUCGACCACAUAAGGAAUGUUUUGCAUCUGAGUUUCAUCUACCUUCCAACGCACUUGAAAAGUUGUUUUUUGUACUGCAGCUUAUUUCCAGAAGACUAUCUUCUCAAAAGGAAACAACUUGUAAGGUUAUGGAUAGCAGAGGGGUUCAUCGAGGGGAGGGGUGAAAGCACAUUAGAAGAAGUAGCAGAAGGCUAUCUGAAGCAGUUGGUUGAUAGAAACAUGCUACAACUUGUCGAGAUGAACUCAUUUGGCAGGAUAAAAGAAUUCAAAAUGCAUGAUAUAUUACGUGAACUGGCAGUUGAUUUGUGCCAGAAGAACUGUUUUGGUGUUUCACAAGAGGCUAAAUGUGAGGCGUCUCUUGAGAUGGAUGGACGCCGAUUGAUACUUGACAAAAUAAACAAUGAUGUUCAACAGUCAUUUUCUGGUUUACAGCAACUUCGAAGUGCGAUUACAGCAGGCGAUAGUAAGUCACCAUUCACUCUACUACCUCUGCUAUGUAAGGAGUCAAGAUAUAUGACAGUGCUAGAAUUAAGUGGUAUACCCAUCAAGAAGAUUCCAGAUGCUAUUGGAGAUCUUUUUAAUCUCCGCCAUUUGGGUUUGCGUAAUUCAAAGGUGAAAAUGCUCCCAAGGUCUGUUGAGAAGCUUUCAAAUUUGUUGACACUAGACCUUUGUAAAUCUGACAUACAUGAGUUGCCUAGUGGGAUUGUGAAACUUAAGAAGCUCAGGCACUUAUUUGUUGAGAAAAUAAUGGAUCCAGAUUGGAGAAACAUCAAUCAUCUCAGUGGUAUGUGUAUCCCCAAUGGACUCGGGAAUCUAACAAACCUGCAAACACUACAAGCAUUGCAAGUACAGGAUGAGUCCCUUAGACAUCUAGGGGAGCUGAGGCAACUGAAAAGCUUGAGGUUAUUGAAUGUGAAGGGAAUCUACUGCGGACGCAUCAGUGAAUCUCUAGUUCAAAUGCGGCAUUUGUCCUUGCUAUCUGUGAAUGCAAGUGAUGGGAAUGAGGUUCUCUUGUUGAAUGUUCUCCUGCCAAGCCUACAAAAGCUAAGAUUGAGAGGACGGCUAGCGGAAGGUGCAUUGGAUGAGUCUCCUCUCUUCCAAGCUGUCGGAGGGCAGAAUUUGUAUGAAUUAGUCCUAUCUUGGUCACAGCUGACAAAAGACCCCUUGCCGUCCCUUUCUCGGUUGUCAAGCUUGACGCGUCUACAUUUCACUAGAGCAUACACCGGAGAGCAUUUGUCAUUUCUCACGGGGUGGUUUCCCAAGCUAAAGGUUCUCUCUCUGACAGACCUCCCUAAUUUGAAACGUCUAGAGAUACAGCAAGGUGCCAUGGGGUCCCUGGAACAUUUAUUCCUAAUCAGACUCAGCAGCAUGACCGAGGUCCCACCUGGCAUUGAGUUCGUCAUGCCUCUCGAGUAUCUAGGCUUCCACGAAAUCACCGGCGACUUCUUGUAUUUGCUGCGCCAUUGUUCUGCGAUUCAAGGGACGCGGUUGAGGUACUCUCUGCGAGAUUGA